UACGUAGGGUGCAAGCGUUGUCCGGAAUUAUUGGGCGUAAAGAGCUCGUAGGCGGUUUGUUGCGUCGGCUGUGAAAUCCCGAGGCUCAACCUCGGGUCUGCAGUCGAUACGAGCAAACUAGAGUGUUGCAGGGGAGACUGGAAUUCCUGGUGUAGCGGUGAAAUGCGCAGAUAUCAGGAGGAACACCGGUGGCGAAGGCGGGUCUCUGGGCAACAACUGACGCUGGAGGCGCGAAAGCGUGGGGAGCAAACAGG
rnacentral:rRNA from 1 species